GAUGAACGCUGGCGGCGUGCCUAAUACAUGCAAGUCGAGCGAACGGACGAGAAGCUUGCUUCUCUGAUGUUAGCGGCGGACGGGUGAGUAACACGUGGAUAACCUACCUAUAAGACUGGGAUAACUUCGGGAAACCGGAGCUAAUACCGGAUGAUAUUUUGAACCGCAUGGUUCAAAAGUGAAAGACGGUCUUGCUGUCACUUAUAGAUGGAUCCGCGCUGCAUUAGCUAGUUGGUAAGGUAAUGGCUUACCAAGGCAACGAUGCAUAGCCGACCUGAGAGGGUGAUAGGCCACACUGGAACGGAGACACGGUCCAGACUCCUACGGGAGGCAGCAGUAGGGAAUCUUCCGCAAUGGGCGAAAGCCUGACGGAGCAACGCCGCGUGAGUGAUGAAGGUCUUCGGAUCGUAAAACUCUGUUAUUAGGGAAGAACAUAUGUGUAAGUAACUGUGCACAUCUUGACGGUACCUAAUCAGAAAGCCACGGCUAACUACGUG
rnacentral:rRNA from 1 species